GCCAACGUGACAGAAUCGACCUGCCCAGGCCAAACCUGACCAGCUGCCUAUUCUUUCUCUCUCUCUCCACCUACUGACGAGUGGGCCCCAGCCACGUCAGCGUCUUCAAGCUCAGCAACGAACAGGCAACGCACGAGCACGAGCCCGACCGUUUUCAGUUUUUUUGCGUUUCUCUUUUCUUUGAUUCCCGGAGAUUUAAGGCACCAUUUGAUGAGCCGUUUUGUCCUACAAAUAGCCCUGUCAAUCCUCUCCAUUUCCCCUCAAACCUCACAGAACGAGAGCCACCAGGCUGCUCGCAAACCAUCUCGCAAUCUCGCGGAAACUGCUGUCGUUCGUCGACGACUACGGUUCGUCGGCGACCGACGCCACAGUCUGCAGGAGCAUCUGUGACGAGCGAUUCCGGCUGACUCCUUCCGCGCCGUCGUCGUCUACUUCGCCAUCAACCUCGUCUCGUCUUCGUGCGUUGAUAGAUUGUGUUGAUUGCCAAGAGUGUUAUUGUGACGAGUGCAACAACUCCCCUUCUCAUCACCAAGGCAAGUGUCACUCAUGUCCUAAUGUUUUCUAUGCAUGUAGUUUUUACUUAGUAGAUAUU